rnacentral:lncRNA from 1 species
GGCUUCCCCCCACCCCACCCCCCGGCAUAGCUUCCAGGACCGCAUGUUUCUCUUGCAGAGUGCUCAUAAGGAAAUCUAAGUCCAACCCCCAGCUUGGACAGGUGAAGCCCUCUGGAAGGCCGGCUGUUCCAGGAGCCAGGACAACACUGGAAUGUCCUUCCAAACCAGGACCCAAACAGCUGAGGGGCUCCAGUUACCCAAGAGCAGGGAUCGUGAGCCCUGCCUUCAUCUUUGAAUCACCUGGGUAGAUCUGCAAGUUACUGAUACCUGGGGUCUUUCUUCCAAUCAGCUCAAUAUCCAGUCAAGGAGUGGGUCCAGGCUCCAGGUUUUGACACCUUUCCAAAGUUCCUUCCAUGCUUGUGAUGUGCAGGAAGAACUGAAAGGCCCUGGCCCGGAUGGUGUCUGCGGUUUCUGGCAGGCAGAAGGUUGACUAUCUAUAAGACUUGGUGACAACGGAGUGGGUGGGUGGCCCUUCCAGGUGCAACCAGAACAAGACAGACAGUUGCCUGUGGAUCAGGCCUGGACCGUCACUGCUCUGGAAGCUUUCCAGUAGAAGGGACUAUGUUUUGCCAGCUCCUGCUAUGCCAUUUGGUAUACAGUCUGCUUACGGAGGUGACACCUGCUGACCUUGCGUGUUUGAGAGCCACCCAUUCUGAAGGCUAUAGUGUUCUGCUCACCACCUACAAUUACCGUGACUAAAAAUACUUCGGAGUGAGGAGAGUCUUCAAGGGGACUUGGCGCCCAGACUACACUGUUCCUAUUUUGGUACUAUGUCUCAAGGCCACAGCCUUGCUACUGCUGAGCCGCGCAUCGCCAGUAAGGCAUUGCACUUCAGAAUUCAUGGAAGCCUUGUGAUUAUGUCUCUUUCCCCCAAAAUGGUGCCCACUAGAGAUCUUCCAGAUAAUUCCAUCACGACUUAGCCACCAUGUGCAGAAAAAGCAACUUCGUAGACAUCAGGCGAGCAUGCGUCUUCCCCGUGGUAAUGUAGCCACAGCUAAUGGGAUUCUUCCACCUUCACUGGUGUGAUUGAGGAGCUUCCACACAAACCCCAGGUCAUCGUGUGAAGAGAAAUAAACUAGAUGAGGGUGAUCAAACAGGCCGAGAAGACACCAUACCCUCUUCUUCUUCUGCUGUCUUGAGCACCUUGUGUCCGUUCACUCAGCACGAAUCCAUCUUAGCAAUAAAUCCCCCACAAGGGUGUUGUGCUCUCUCCAAUUUAAUCGGCAUUAAAUCCUUUUGAGUCCUCACAUCCUUCCUCUCCCAUCUCUUAAAAUAGUCGGCAGCACUUAAGUCCAGCAUCCUAUCGACUUCUAACAUUGCAUAAUCCCGCAAGCACCCUUUCCCCUAUUCUCCUUAAGGAGCCCUCAUAAUCAGAAAGUUCUCCCAUGAGAACCUGUAGGUAGGGUGGUUCAGGCAGCCCUGGGGUAAGUGGGGCACAAUGCUGCCAGGAUCAUCUGAGGGCUGGAUUGGAGGGAUGUUCACUAUCCCUUCACUGUUUAACUGGCUCAGAAAGUAAGUCUCUGCUUUAUUUAUCUCUCAGGGUGGGCUGAGGACAGAAAAGUUGAAUUGUGGGCAUCGCCACGAUUCUUGGUUCUUGUCACACUUCUUACAGGGGGCUUUGACGUUUGAGUCAGCUUGGCAGGGAGGAGGCGUCACUCAGGGAGCAUGGACUGUGUUCUGAGGGUUUGAGAUUGGGGGACUGUUCUCAAGAGAGACCUGGAGUUGUGCUCACCCUUGCUCGACACUUGGGUCAUUCUGAAUCUGGAAUGGUCAUAGAAGUGCAGUCUCUGUUGAAGAAACCAAACCCUUUGUAGGACCUGCCUUGAGCUAAGGAAAGAAUGGUAGGUGGAACAGAGCUCAACGGACACCGAGAGCAUCUCCCGAGUGACAAGACCUGCCGCCCCCAUUAGUGAACGUGAGAUGUUCGUGGGCAAAGACGCGGGGAUGGGUUCUCAAGCCAGACUCAGCAGAUGUUUGCAGGUGAGUGAGUGAGGAGAAAACACGGUUACAUGGAAGACCCGUUACGGGCAUGAAAACCAAACCCACCUUGAAGAUGUCCCCGCGGUCCCAAGUUGUACGUGGACACCAGAAGAGAAUUUAGACUCAGACCUGGACAAACUAGCGGACAUGCUAUUCCAGGCUUGAGAAAACCCAGGUGGUUAAAAUCAAGGCAGCAUCCUUAGCCUGUGCUUGGUCCAGGAACAUGGCCAUUCAUUUGUGGCUCACCACUGCCCUCUGGUGGCCCUCUCUAAAAAUGCAACUUGGUUUUAAAGGUUGGGGAUGGCGAGACUGGCUUAACCAGUUUGUUUGUUUGUUUGUUUGUUUGAGUACAUAGCCUCAGUAUUUGGGUCUCAGGACCAGUUUGAUUCACCUGCAUGAAUCAACUCACGUGAUUAGAGUAAAAUGAGCAGAAUUCAGUGUAUCUCAUACCUUUGUCUGGCUCUGUCAUUGUCAGACGAUUCAGCUAGCUCUUGGGAACUGCCGUUUCCAUCAGACACUGUUGUGUGGGGCCUUUUAUCUGAGCUGCAGCACUGAUCCUCUAGGGUGGAUGCAAUAAUUAUUCAUGUUACAGAUGAAGAAAUAGAGGCGCACGGAAGACGUCUGGCUCUUAACAUAUGAAUAUGGCAUUGAGUCUCCAGUGACACCAACCUGUUAAGAUGUCACUCAGGACCCAGGCCCGCCCUGAGCAGAAUGGACGGGGGAAAUAUGAUUUUAAAGUAGUGUUU